rnacentral:rRNA from 1 species
UACAGGGGGUGCAAACGUUGCUCGGAAUCAUUGGGCGUAAAGCGCACGUAGGCGGUCUGUUAUGUCGGAUGUGAAAGCCCUUGGCUCAACUGAGGAAGUGCAUCCGAAACUGGCAGGCUAGAGUACUAAAGAGGAUCGCGGAAUUCCCGGUGUAGAGGUGAAAUUCGUAGAUAUCGGGAGGAACACCGGUGGCGAAGGCGGCGAUCUGGGUAGAUACUGACGCUGAGGUGCGAAAGCGUGGGGAGCGAACCGG